rnacentral:tRNA from 1 species
GGUUCCUUAGCCAAGGUGGUAAGGCAAAUGACUGCAAAUCAUUCAUCGACGGUUCGACUCCGCCAGGAACCU